rnacentral:rRNA from 1 species
CAGCGCCACGAGUGGGGAUCCUGUUUAUUUGGCCUAAAGCGUCCGUAGCUGGUUUAGUAAAUCUCUUGUGAAAUCGUUGGGCUUAACCCAGCGGCGUGCAGGAGAGACUGCUAAACUAGGGACUGGGAGGAGUAAGAGGUAUGCUGGGGGGAGCGGUAAAAUGCUAUAAUCCUCAGUAGACCACCUAUGGCGAAGGCAUCUUACUAGAACAGGUCCGACAGUGAGGGACGAAAGCCAGGGGAGCAAACCGGAUUAGAUACCCGAGUAGUCC